GACGAACGCUGGCGGCGUGCUUAACACAUGCAAGUCGAACGCGCCUGUCCUCUGGGUUUCUGGGGGGUGGGUGAGUGGCGAACGGGUGAGUAACACGUGAGUAACCUGCCCCCUUCUUCGGGAUAACGGUCUGAAAGGGCUGCUAAUACCGGGUAUUCACUGGUCUCCGCAUGGGGUCUGGUGGAAAGGUUUUUUUCUGGUGGGGGAUGGGCUCGCGGCCUAUCAGCUUGUUGGUGGGGUGAUGGCCCACCAAGGCUUUGACGGGUAGCCGGCCUGAGAGGGUGACCGGUCACAUUGGGACUGAGAUACGGCCCAGACUCCUACGGGGGGCAGCAGUGGGGAAUAUUGCAGAAUGGGCGCAAGCCUGAUGCAGCGACGCCGCGUGAGGGAUGGAGGCCUUCGGGUUGUGAACCUCUUUCGCCCGUGGUCAAGCCGCGACGUGGGUCGUGGUGAGGGUAGUGGGUAAAGAAGCGCCGGCUAACUACGUG
rnacentral:rRNA from 1 species